GCACCGCUGAGGAGUCUCACGAUAGGACGAAACGAUCGUCUAGUGC
rnacentral:hammerhead_ribozyme from 1 species